rnacentral:rRNA from 1 species
AUUGAACGCUGGCGGCAGGCCUAACACAUGCAAGUCGAACGAGUGGCGGACGGGUGAGUAAUGUCUGGGAAACUGCCUGAUGGAGGGGUAUACCUACUGGAAACGGUAGCUAAUCCCGCAUACCAUCGGAUGUGCCCAGAUGGGAUUAGCUUGUAGGUGGGGUAAAGGAUCACCUAGGCGACGAUCCCUAGCUGGUCUGAGAGGAUGACGAGCCACACUGGAACUGAGACACGGUCCAGACGCAUACGGGAGGCAGCAGUGGGGAAUAUUGCACAAUGGGCGCAAGCCUGAUGCAGCCAUGCCGCGUGUAUGAAGAAGGCCUUCGGGUUGUAAAGUACGUUAAGCGGGGAGGCGUUACCCGCAGAAGAAGCACCGGCUAACUCCGUGCCAGCAGCCGCGGUAAUUC